rnacentral:rRNA from 1 species
AGCUCCAUAAGCGUAUACUAAAGUUGUUGCAGUUAAAAAGCUCGUAGUUGGAUUUUGGUUCGGGCCGGGGUGGUGUCGUCGCGAGACGUGAACCUCCCGGCCAGUCUCUUUUCUCGAAGACUGCGGGUGCUCUUGACUGGGUGCGCGUCAGGACUCGGGACGUUUAAUUUGAAAAAUUAGAGUGUUCAAAGCAGGCACACUCGUGCCAGAAUACAUGAGCAUGGAAUAAUGGAACAGGACUACGGUCACUGCUGCUUCUGUUGGUUUCAGAGGGCCGAAGUAAUGAUUAAGAGGGACAGUCGGGGGCAUCCGUAUUUCGUAGUCAGAGGUGAAAUUCUUGGAUCUGCGAAAGGCGAACAAGUGCGAAAGCAUUUGCCAAGAGUGUUUUCAUUAAUCAAGA